UGAGCAAUCUGCCCUUCUCAUCGGAAUAAGCGUUGGAAACGACGUCUAAUGCCGAAUACGACCUCCUUUCGCAUGAUCGGAGGUGGAAAGCUCCGGCGGAGAAGGAUGAGCUCGCGGCCUAUCAGCUAGUUGGUGUGGGUAAUGGCCCACCAAGGCGACGACGGGUAGCCGGCCUGAGAGGGUGACCGGCCACACUGGGACUGAGACACGGCCCAGACUCCUACGGGAGCAG
rnacentral:rRNA from 1 species